rnacentral:rRNA from 1 species
UUGCUCUUAUGAAGUUAGCGGCGGACGGGUGAGUAACACGUGGGUAACCUGCCCAUAAGACUGGGAUAACUCCGGGAAACCGGGGCUAAUACCGGAUAACAUUUUGAACCGCAUGGUUCGAAAUUGAAAGGCGGCUUCGGCUGUCACUUAUGGAUGGACCCGCGUCGCAUUAGCUAGUUGGUGAGGUAACGGCUCACCAAGGCAACGAUGCGUAGCCGACCUGAGAGGGUGAUCGGCCACACUGGGACUGAGACACGGCCCAGACUCCUACGGGAGGCAGCAGUAGGGAAUCUUCCGCAAUGGACGAAAGUCUGACGGAGCAACGCCGCGUGAGUGAUGAAGGCUUUCGGGUCGUAAAACUCUGUUGUUAGGGAAGAACAAGUGCUAGUUGAAUAAGCUGGCACCUUGACGGUACCUAACCAGAAAGCCACGGCUAACUACGUGCCAGCAGCCGCGGUAAUACGUAGGUGGCAAGCGUUAUCCGGAAUUAUUGGGCGUAAAGCGCGCGCAGGUGGUUUCUUAAGUCUGAUGUGAAAGCCCACGGCUCAACCGUGGAGGGUCAUUGGAAACUGGGAGACUUGAGUGCAGAAGAGGAAAGUGGAAUUCCAUGUGUAGCGGUGAAAUGCGUAGAGAUAUGGAGGAACACCAGUGGCGAAGGCGACUUUCUGGUCUGUAACUGACACUGAGGCGCGAAAGCGUG